rnacentral:rRNA from 1 species
GACGAACGCUGGCGGCGUGCUUAACACAUGCAAGUCGAACGGAAAGGCCCUGCUUGCCGGGUACUCGAGUGGCGAACGGGUGAGUAACACGUGGGUGAUCUGCCCUGCACUUCGGGAUAAGCUUGGGAAACUGGGUCUAAUACCGGAUAGGAGCCAUCUUUAGUGUGGUGGUUGGAAAGUUUUUUCGGUGUAGGAUGAGCUCGCGGCCUAUCAGCUUGUUGGUGGGGUAAUGGCCUACCAAGGCGGCGACGGGUAGCCGGCCUGAGAGGGUGUACGGCCACAUUGGGACUGAGAUACGGCCCAGACUCCUACGGGAGGCAGCAGUGGGGAAUAUUGCACAAUGGGAGCAAGCCUGAGGCAGCGACGCCGCGUGGGGGAUGAAGGCCUUCGGGUUGUAAACGCCUUUCGCUAGGGACGAAGCUUUUUUGUGACGGUACCUAGAUAAGAAGCACCGGCUAACUACGUG